rnacentral:rRNA from 1 species
CCUACGGGAGGCAGCAGUAGGGAAUAUUGCUCAAUGGGGGUAACCCUGAACCAGCAACGUCACGUGGAGGAUGAAGGUUCUCUGAUUGUAAACCCUCUUUUUUAGAGAAGAUAAUGACGGUAUGUAACGCAUAAGCACCGGCUAACAUCGUGCCAGCAGCCCUGGUAAUACGCAGGCUGCAAGGGUUACUCGGAAUCACUGGGCGUAAAGCGCGCGUAGGCGGGAUAGCAAGUCAGAGGUGAAAUCCUUUGGCUUAACCAUAGAACUGCAUUUGAAACUGUUAUUCUAGAGUAUGGGAGAGGUAGGUGGAAUGCUUGGUGUAGGGGUAAAAUCCGUAGAGAUCAAGAAGAAUACUGAUUGCGAAGGCGACCUGCUAGAACAUGACUGACGCUGAUGCGCGAAAGCGUGGGGAGCAAACAGGAUUAGAUACCCUGGUAGUC